rnacentral:rRNA from 1 species
AUUGAACGCUGGCGGCAGGCCUAACACAUGCAAGUCGAGCGGAUGAAGGGAGCUUGCUCCUGGAUUCAGCGGCGGACGGGUGAGUAAUGCCUAGGAAUCUGCCUGGUAGUGGGGGAUAACGUCCGGAAACGGGCGCUAAUACCGCAUACGUCCUGAGGAAGAAAGUGGGGGAUCUUCGGACCUCACGCUAUCAGAUGAGCCUAGGUCGGAUUAGCUAGUUGGUAGGGUAAAGGCCUACCAAGGCGACGAUCCGUAACUGGUCUGAGAGGAUGAUCAGUCACACUGGAACUGAGACACGGUCCAGACUCCUACGGGAGGCAGCAGUGGGGAAUAUUGGGCAAUGGGCGAAAGCCUGAUCCAGCCAUGCCGCGUGUGUGAAGAAGGUCUUCGGAUUGUAAAGCACUUUAAGUUGGGAGGAAGGGCAGUAAGUUAAUACCUUGCUGUUUUGACGUUACCAAAAGAAUAAGCACCGGCUAACUUCGUG